ACACGAACCGGACAAACGUUAUUCGGAAUUAUUGGGCUUAAAGGGUGCGUAGGCGGCGAUGUAGGUGGGGUGUGAAAUCCCUCGGCUCAACCGAGGAACUGCGCCCCAAACCACAUGGCUAGAGGGAGACAGAGGUAAGCGGAACUGAUGGUGGAGCGGUGAAAUGCGUUGAUAUCAUCAGGAACACCGGUGGCGAAAGCGGCUUACUGGGUCUCUUCUGACGCUGAGGCACGAAAGCUAGGGUAGCGAACGGGAUUAGAAACCCCAGUAGUCC
rnacentral:rRNA from 1 species